AGCUCAGUUGGUAGAGUACGUGCCUCAGAUGUACAAGGCCCUGGGUUCAAUCCCCAG
rnacentral:tRNA from 1 species